rnacentral:rRNA from 1 species
AGAAGGGCAUCUGGUGGAUGCCUUGGCGUCAGGAGGCGAUGAAGGACGUGACACGCUGCGAUAAGCCGUGGGGAGCUGCGAGUGAGCUUUGAUCCAUGGAUUUCCGAAUGGGGCAACCCACCACGCAAGUGGUAUCUUCUGGUGAAUACAUAGCCAGGAGAGGCGAACCCGGUGAACUGAAACAUCUAAGUAGCCGGAGGAAAGGACAUCAACGGAGACUCCGUAAGUAGUGGCGAGCGAAAGCGGAUCAGGCCAGUGGUUUCUUGAGACACGAUCAGAACGGCAUGGAAAGGCCGGCCAGAGCGGGUGAUAGCCCCGUAUGGAGAGUAGCUCUUGAAAUCCUUGAGUAGAGCGGGACACGUGAAAUCCUGUUUGAAAAUAGGGGGACCACCCUCUAAGCCUAAGUACUCCCUGACGACCGAUAGUGAACCAGUACCGUGAGGGAAAGGUGAAAAGCACCCCGACGAGGGGAGUGAAACAGUUCCUGAAACCGGAUGCCUACAAGCAGUCGGAGGGCGCAAGCCUGACGGCGUACCUUUUGCAUAAUGGGUCAGCGAGUUACUUUGUCCAGCAAGCUUAAGCCGGUAGGUGUAGGCGCAGCGAAAGCGAGUCUGAAUAGGGCGCUUGAGUUGGACGAAGUAGACCCGAAACCGGGUGAUCUAGCCAUGGGCAGGUUGAAGGUGCGGUAACACGCACUGGAGGACCGAACCCACGUCUGUUGAAAAAGACGGGGAUGACCUGUGGCUAGGGGUGAAAGGCCAAUCAAACUCGGAUAUAGCUGGUUCUCCGCGAAAACUAUUUAGGUAGUGCGUCACGUGAUUACCCUCGGGGGUAGAGCACUGGAUGGGCUAGGGGGCCUCACCGGCUUACCAAACCUAACCAAACUCCGAAUACCGAGGAGUACAGCGUGGCAGACAGACUGCGGGUGCUAAGGUCCGUAGUCGAGAGGGAAACAGCCCAGACCACCAGCUAAGGUCCCCAAGUUACGGCUAAGUGGGAAAGGAUGUAGGACGGCCAUGACAACCAGGAGGUUGGCUUAGAAGCAGCCAUCCUUUAAAGAAAGCGUAACAGCUCACUGGUCUAGUUAAGCUGUCCCGCGCCGAAGAUGUAACGGGGCUCAAGCCGUACACCGAAGCUGUGGAUGCAUCGAUAAGAUGCGUGGUAGCGGAGCGUUCCGUAGGCCUGUGAAGGGCGACCCGUGAGGGCGCCUGGAGGUAUCGGAAGUGAGAAUGCUGACAUGAGUAGCGACAAACAGAGUGAGAAACUCUGUCGCCGAAAGCCCAAGGGUUCCUGCGCAAGGCUAAUCCGCGCAGGGUGAGUCGGCCCCUAAGACGAGAGCGAAAGCUGUAGUCGAUGGGAAACAGGUUAAUAUUCCUGUACCUGUGGGACGUGACGGAUGACGUAAGUUGUUGGAGCUUAUCGGAUUGUUUCCAGCAGCGAAGUUGUUCCAGGAAAUAACGCCCACGAAUAGACCGUACCCCAAACCGACACAGGUGGGCAGGUAGAGUAUACCAAGGCGCUUGAGAGAACGAUACUGAAGGAACUCGGCAAAUUACCCCCGUAACUUCGGGAGAAGGGGGCCCCGUUCCUGGGCAACCAGGGGCGGGGGGCACAGACCAGGGGGUGGCGACUGUUUACUAAAAACACAGGGCUCUGCGAAGCCGCAAGGCGACGUAUAGGGUCUGACGCCUGCCCGGUGCCGGAAGGUUAAGAGGAGGGGUUAACGCUCUGAAUCGAAGCCCCGGUAAACGGCGGCCGUAACUAUAACGGUCCUAAGGUAGCGAAAUUCCUUGUCGGGUAAGUUCCGACCCGCACGAAUGGCGUAACGACUUCCCCACUGUCUCCAGUAUCGACUCAGCGAAAUUGAAUUCCCCGUGAAGAUGCGGGGUUCCCGCGGUCAGACGGAAAGACCCCGUGCACCUUUACUACAGCUUUGCAGUGGCACUAGGGACUGAAUGUGUAGGAUAGGUGGGAGCCUAUGAAGCCUCGGCGCCAGCUGAGGUGGAGGCAUCCUUGAAAUACCACCCUUUUAGUUCUUGGUGUCUAACCGCGCUCCGUGAUCCGGAGCCGGGACCCUGCAUGGCGGGUAGUUUGACUGGGGCGGUCGCCUCCCAAAGAGUAACGGAGGCGCGCGAUGGUGGGCUCAAACCGGUCGGAAAUCGGUUGUCGAGUGCAAUGGCAUAAGCCCGCCUGACUGCGAGACUGACAAGUCGAGCAGAGACGAAAGUCGGCCAUAGUGAUCCGGUGGUCCCGAGUGGAAGGGCCAUCGCUCAACGGAUAAAAGGUACGCCGGGGAUAACAGGCUGAUAACCCCCAAGAGUCCAUAUCGACGGGGUUGUUUGGCACCUCGAUGUCGGCUCAUCACAUCCUGGGGCUGGAGCAGGUCCCAAGGGUUCGGCUGUUCGCCGAUUAAAGUGGUACGUGAGCUGGGUUUAGAACGUCGUGAGACAGUUCGGUCCCUAUCUGCCGUGGGUGUAGGAGACUUGAGAGGAUCUGUCCUCAGUACGAGAGGACCGGGAUGGACGGAUCUCUGGUGCACCAGUUGUGACGCCAGUCGCAUCGCUGGGUAGCUAUAUCCGGAAGGGAUAACCGCUGAAAGCAUCUAAGCGGGAAACCUCCCUCGAAACCAGGUCUCCCUUGAGAGCCGUGGAAGACCACCACGUUGAUAGGCCGGGUGUGCACGUGCGGCAACGCACUGAGCUAACCGGUACUAAUCGCUCGAUAGAGC